GGAACUCUGGGAAACUACAAACAAAGUAGACGUUGCAAAAUUACACCCACUUCGCCUGAGAGACCAUGACGAUGAAGCAAUACUCUUCUGCAUUCUCUUUUUGCCUGAUGCUCUUGGUUGUAGCUGCUAUGGUCUGUGUCAUCUACACCAGCUCCGUCGAUGCCGGAAGAAGCGGUUACAACUCAUACAAGCCUUGUGGAAGGACUGACUUUGGUCAAUGCUCUGUUCCCACAAACGGUGGUGGGAACCCCUAGGAUGAACCUACCAAACUAAGUAAAAUAAUGCUCCAAGCAUCAGAGUUAUCUAUGUGUGGUUCUGCACUUGAGCUACGAUGUAUGUGUACCAAUACACAUAUUAUGGAUUGUAAUUUAGCUAGUAGCAAUAACAAGCGUACUACCCCAUUUUCUUAUAUUUGAUACUGAUUAGUCAAAAGUUGAACUAAUCAACGUCGAAUAUAAAACAAAUGGAGGGAGUAUCAUAUAUUGUAAUUUAGCCACUGCCUACUAUUCAUAUUAUGUGUGGUUGUAAUAUUUGCAAAAUAGUGUGGAUUGUAAUAGUGUGCAUUUGCAAAAUAUUGUCGUACCAGCUGGAAGCGAGGACUAUCCGGCUGUGUGCACUUUGCAGCAACUAUCACAAAUAAUAUACGUAUGCUGUUUUGAUUGCA